AAAACUACAACAUUUUUACCCUGUGUAUCUGAAUUACAUUUAUUAGAAUAAAGCGAGCACCGGAAACUCCCACCUUUAUUACUAUAAACUUCGCCCCCGCGCUGCGAUUGGCUGCUGUUAACUCGUCUCUUGCGCUGUGAUUGGUUGUUCUGCAGUUCGUUCUCCUCUUGAGUGAGGAUGAUUAGCUAAUCUGUGGUGAAUAGUGCUGCAGUCUGUCGGAAUACAGGUGGAGAAAAUAGUUCCUCAGCGAGUCUGAGAGAGUCUGAGGAACUGAAGAGCCGCUGCUGGAGCAGCUGGAGCUCCGGAGCUGAGCACGUGCAUGGUGUGAUCCACAGUCAGCUCCAAGGUGGUCUAUGUUAGCAAACGCUGUAGUGACUCAUGUUCAGCCUGCAGAGACAGGUGCUGUAGCCAGUCCUUGGGUAAAACAGAAGCUGCGUCAGUUGAUCAAACAGAAGAACGAACAAGCGGAGUCCAACUUCAGCAGCAUCCCCACAGGCUUCAGGAAUCUGACUCCUAUUCCCGACCUGAACUUUCAACAUCUUCAACAGAACUCUUCCUCAUCUCUAAUCUAUGGAAGCGACCAGUUACGGAGAACAUACUCGGAGCCCCUCAUCAAGCUGAAGCUUAGGAGGAGCAUAAGUAACAGGAGGAAUCCUCUCUGUCAUAAAUCAAGUGCUCCCCCUACAGUGUGCAUUCCAGCAUCUGAGUGCAGUUUACCCUCCAGUCAGUCAAACAGUGGAUUGUUAGCCUGGAACUACACCGGAAAACAGUUCCACAAGAGUCAGAGUCAUCUGGACUGUGGAAUGAUGGAGGGUACCCCCAUGCAACCCUCUACAUAUUUGUAUGUCACACCUGACCAGGAGACUCUGGGGGGUGCUUUCUCUUCUGCUGCACCCUCUUUUUACGUCUCGAAUGAUCCUAGAUACCCUUCAGUCCUCACCAGUCCUCACCCACAGGUUCAACAAGUCCUGGUGGUAGGGCCAGAGAGGCCUCUGAUCAGAUCCAAGUCACAGCCAGCGUUUUUUAUUACUCAAUACUCUCCACCUCCAUAUAUCUUCCGGUCCUACAGCAGCCAACGGAAAAAAAAAAACAGACAGACACAAGAGGUGAGAGACAUUGGACAUUUUUUGUUGUUCUUACACUUCACAUUCUAUUGGGUUUUUAAUUAAUCUGGAGAUUGUCUAGAUUUAGGAAUAUAAAUUGACAUAUUAUGAUAUACUAGUACAUCUUAAAAAAAAACAUUGAAAAAUAUCAUGUGUUUUAGAAAAUUAGAAUAUUAUAUAAGACAUAUUGGUACUUUUGACAGUGUGGGCAGUGUGCCAAGUCCUGCUGGAAAAUGAAAUCCAGAUCUCCAUAAAGUUGUCAGCUGAGGGAAGUGCUGUACGAUUUUUGGGGAAAACACUGCACUGACUUUAGACUUGAUAUAACACAGUGGCUCAACACCAGCAGAUGACAUGUCUCUCCAAACCAUCACUGAUUGUGGAAACUUCACACUAGACCUCAAGCAGCUCGGACUCUGGUCCCUUGAUUUCCAUAAGAAAUGUAAAAUUUACUGAUGGUCAAUGAUGUGUAAUACAUCUAUAUGAUAUAAGUUUCACAUUUGAACUGCAUUAUUGAAAUAAAGUAACUUUUCAAUGAUAUUUACA
ensembl:lncRNA